rnacentral:rRNA from 1 species
CCUACGGGUGGCUGCAGUGAGGAAUAUUGGUCAAUGGACGAGAGUCUGAACCAGCCAAGUAGCGUGAAGGAUGACUGCCCUAUGUAUUGUAAACUUCUUUUAUAUGGGAAUAAAGGCCAGUACGUAUACUGUUAUGUAUGUACCAGAUGAAUAAGGAUCGGCUAACUCCGUGCCAGCAGCCGCGGUAAUACGGAGGAUCCGAGCGUUAUCCGGAUUUAUUGGGUUUAAAGGGAGCGUAGGCGGACGCUUAAGUCAGUUGUCAAAGUCUGCGGCUCAACCGUCAAAUUGCAGUUGAAACUGGGUGUCUUGAGUGCAGGAGAGGUAUGCGGAAUUCGUGGUGUAGCGGUGAAAUGCUGAGAUAUCACGAAGAACUCCGAUUGCGAAGGCAGCUUACUGGAUUGUAACUGACGCUGAGGCUCGAAAGUGUGGGUAUCAAACAGGAUUAGAUACCCUAGUAGUC